GAGCACUCCUACGGGAGGCAGCAGUGGGGAAUAUUGCACAAUGGGCGCAAGCCUGAUGCAGCCAUGCCGCGUGUAUGAAGAAGGCCUUCGGGUUGUAAAGUACUUUCAGCAGUGAGGAAGGUGGAUAUGUUAAUAGCAUAUUCAUUUGACGUUAGCUGCAGAAGAAGCACCGGCUAACUCCGUGCCAGCAGCCGCGGUAAUACGGAGGGUGCGAGCGUUAAUCGGAAUUACUGGGCGUAAAGCGCAUGCAGGUGGUUUGUUAAGUCAGAUGUGAAAGCCCGGGGCUCAACCUCGGAAUUGCAUUUGAAACUGGCAAACUAGAGUACUGUAGAGGGGGUAGAAUUUCAGGUGUAGCGGUGAAAUGCGUAGAGAUCUGAAGGAAUACCGGUGGCGAAGGCGGCCCCCUGGACAGAUACUGACACUCAGAUGCGAAAGCGUGGGGAGCAAACAGGAUUAGAUACCCUGGUAG
rnacentral:rRNA from 1 species